AAAUAUUAGAUUUAAUAUUAUUGUCAACGUGACUAGAAUAUAAAGAGUCACACACAAAGAACGGUCAAAAGAGAAAUAUAUAAGUGUGACUUAUAUAGGUAUGCGUUUAGUAAAUAACACUAAUUAGUUAGCAAAAUAUUAAACUCGUUAUUG
rnacentral:pre_miRNA from 1 species